rnacentral:rRNA from 1 species
GAUGAACGCUGGCGGCGUGCUUAACACAUGCAAGUCGAACGGAAAGGCUCCUGCUUGCAGGGGUACUCGAGUGGCGAACGGGUGAGUAACACGUGGGUGAUCUGCCCUGCACUUCGGGAUAAGCUUGGGAAACUGGGUCUAAUACCGGAUAGGACCGCAUUUUGGAUGGUGUGGUGGAAAGUUUUUUCGGUGUGGGAUGAGCUCGCGGCCUAUCAGCUUGUUGGUGGGGUAAUGGCCUACCAAGGCGUCGACGGGUAGCCGGCCUGGGAGGGUGUACGGCAACAUUGGGAAUGAGAUAGGGCCCAGACCCAUACGGGAGGGAGGAGGGGGGAAAUUGGAAAAAAGGGCGCAAGCCGGAGGGAGCGACGCGGGGGGGGGGGUAAAGGCCUUAGGGUUGAAAACCCCUUGCGCAAGGGACGAAGAGAAAUUGAGGGUACAUGGGAAAGAAGCACCGGAUAACUAGGG